ensembl:snoRNA
UUGGAUGUGAUGAAGAACUUGAAGCUUGAUCUCUACUGUGAUGGGUCAUGUAUUCAUACUGUCUGAUCCAG